AACAUUGUGUCCAGAUUCCUGUAAGCUCUGCUUGCUUCAGUGACAGUUUACAAGUGCAGUUAAUGAGUUAAUGUGAAGAUACAAACUCUUAUUGAAAGGGAAUGACUAUAUUACAUGAAGAAGAAAAAAAUAAGUCAUGAAGUCUUCAGAAGCCUCAUGGGCCAAAAGCAGAGAAAGGGAGAGAAAAUACAAUAUCCACAUGCCUGCAAGAAAUACAAUGGAUACUUCAGAAAAGAAAAAGACAUCCAAGCUGCCUUAGUAAAUUUGGAUUGCAAACUCACUUGGUGGAGCAAUUUGAACCAGGGAUAUCAUGAAUGCUCAGGAUCCCACACACCAAUCUGAGUUGCUGGCUUGGACCUUUUCAGACGUGAGAGAGCUGACCCUGUUUUAUUAUAGACACUGUUACAUGCAGUAACUCUUGAACUACCAAGUAAAUGAUUCUGUUCUCUCUGAAUUGUCAUCCAAAUGAGGGGAAGGACAAGAGCCAUGCUGGCAGAGUUCCCUUUUAGAUCCUGAAAGACCUUUCUCAGGUCACCUCACAGCCUUCUCUUCUCCAGGCUGAACAGCCCCAGCUCUUUCAGCCUGUACUCAUGGGGAAGGUGUUCCAUCUCUUGGAUGAUUUUUGUGGCCCUCCUUUGGAUGCACUCCACAGGUCCAUGUCUCUCCUGUACUGAGGACACCACAUCUGAACACAGUACUCCAGCAUCUUCCUGCCUGCAUGGUACCCGACAACUUUGGGUGAAUUGCUGGUGUCUGAUGCUAGCAAUUGUAAGUUAGCACCUGGCUCAGUCCUGCUGUUGUUAGACCAGCAAAACUUGAAAAAGAAAACAGCUUUUGUGCUGGAUGUAGAAGUGAAAUAACCAUUUACAAUUCAGAAAAACAGAUGACAAGACUAACAAACUCACAGAACCGUAUGGGUUGGAAGGAAUUCCUGGAGAUCAUCUAGUCCUGCAUCCUGCAGGUUCCCUACACAGGAGAGCAUCCGGGUGGCCUUGAAUAUCUCCAGAAGAGGAGACUCCACAACCUCUCUGGGAAACUUGUUUCAGUUCUCUGUCACCCACACAGUACAGAAGUUUUUCCUCAUGUUCAGAUGGAACUUGCUGUGUUCCAGCUUGAGACAUUUGCUCCUUGUCCUGUUCAUGGGCAGCACUUGAAAGAGUAUGGAACCAUCCACUUGACACUCACCCUUCAGAUGAUUAUAAGCGUUCAUAUUAUCCCCUCUCAGUCUUCUCCAGUUUAAACAGUCCUAGCUGGUCUCCUAGCCUUUCCUCAUAAGAGAGGUGCUCCAUGCCCCUGACCAUCUUUGUCACCCUCUGCUGGACUCUCUCAGUAGUUUCUUGUCUUUCAUGAACUGAAGAGCUCAGAACCGGACACAAUACUUCAGAUGUGGCCUCACAAGGACAGUGCAAAGGGGGAGAAGAACAACCCUCAACCUGUUGGCCACAUUAUUUUAAUCCACCCCAGGAUAUCACUGGCCUUCUUGGCCACAAGGGCAAACUGCUGGCUCUUGGCCAACCUGUUGGCCACCAGAACACCUAUUUCCUUCUCCCUCAACUCAAAGCAGUCUGGAAACAAGAUUUCGCUCAUGUCCAUAUUGGGUCAUUUUAUGGCAAAAAGUCAGACUAGCAAGGUAACAGGAACAGCACAAUUAGAGGUAAUUAGCCCAACAGGAGAAUCAUUGCCACUGUAUCUAAGAAGUUGGCAAUAUGAGAAAGGUCAAAAUAGUCGCAGAAAUGGAUAUAUAAUUUUCCUAUUUAGAUCACAAGCUCGUUGGGGCUCACAGAAAGCCAAAUAAAAUGACCUCUUUUGUGUCCUUGGAGUACUGCCAUAAAAAAAAUGCAACAUAUCUAGUGAUAAAAAUAACAAUAAAGGUGACCUCAGUGAGGAAUCUCAAAUAGACGAGGAAAAUAAUUUUUUUCAAGGGACAUGAACUUACUAUAGGCAUAAAGGACAAAAUUUCAGGAGCUUAAUUAUUAAUUUAAAGGAACAUUUGGCUGUGGGAUACUGUUAAAAUAAAUAACAACAGUCACACUCUUUAUCUCCUGAGUACAAUUUGGUGGGUAUAUGCUUGCAUUCACUCCCAAACUCUUACUUAUAAAUAAUUGGAAAGUGAAAAAGAUUCCUGUCCUCAGUAAACUUUAGCAAGCUUGCAGGAA